ensembl:lncRNA
CAGCAAAGCUUUUAUUUUCUCUGCAUAAUCUUGAAUUCUGAUGAUGGAGCAUGAAAACAGUAAUCUAAUUACAUUUCUUGGAAGUUUGGCAGCUACACAAAAUGUUUUUUUUUACUUACAAAAUAUAUUUGAUCAAAAAAUCAUUGGUGCCCAAUAAACAAGAAACUGCAGUAUCAUUUUAUAGUCACUUUUCAGAGCAUAACAGUUAAUCUAACUAUAGUUACGCUGGUACUGUAUAAUAUAAAAUGUGUUUUAUUCACUUUCCAGCAAGAUAGGGGUAGGGUUAUCUUCAACUUUGUAUUUUUAUGACUUUUAAGGCAUUUGUGCUGUAAACUGCAUGCGAUUCACUAUAAAAGCUUUUAUUUCCUUUCAGUUCUCAUGGUCACUACCUCCUGAAUGGUUACUGCAGCAGCAUCUAUCCUCACACAGGAUUCCAUUAUCAAAGUACUCCACAAACACGUCUCUUGAAUAUACACACUCUGGAAAGUGGUAAAUGGGCAUUUGUCAAUACAUCUGAUUGCAACCACCGCCUGAAGACGGAGAUCCUUUAGCAAGAGGCCCAAGAACUUGAUGCUUUGGUUUUUCCUUUUGGGACUGCAGAGAAAAAACAGCAUCUGGUGUUUGAGGAUGCUGGGGAUUUACACCAUAUUAUGUGUAAUAUCUGUACUGUAAAUAAACAAAAUGAAUAAUUAAGUGAAUAACGAGGUGUCCUGAAUUAUGACUUCUCUGGCUGCAUCUAUGGAAAAUCAAAGGGACACAUGAAGGAGAUUCAGGCACAGGAGGAAAAAAAAAAGGAAGAAGCUCAGGAGAAGCAGGCUACCACCAGUAGCUGAAUGGGUGGAUCUCCGAAGAGGCCUGAGUCGCUUCAAUGGCUUUUCAGUACAGAUAAGUUACAGUUUUUUCUGCUCUGGCGCAUCCUCUGAAGGCUGAGAUGAAAGACAUGAUUCACUAGACUAAGACAUAUCCUGAAUCAAGAUGCCAGCCCCCUCCUGCACCCCACGCUCCAGAGGCUGGUCUGCUGAAUGAUGGCUGUAUCUGCCCCGAGGACACUGUGAGCCCCACUCCCAGGGUGAGAGGAGAAUGAUGGCAAAAGAAUUUGGUAUAUCCUUGCUCCCACCUUCCUGUUCUUGAAAGCACAGGACAUCUGUGGGAGGAUUAUCUCUGGAGGCCUUGAUGGAGAGUACCAACCAGUCUUCAUGUGAAGACACUCUGCGUUCCUCAGCACUUACCCGUGAUCUGCAUCCUUGGUAAUCAACAGGGAAUAUUCUUUUAAACCUUGUUCUCUUGUUUCUUUUGGUGCUGUGGCACAGCUGUUUCUAUUUAUUUCAGACAGAUUAAUCUUAAUGUUACAAAUGCCUGCAUAGUUGAUGCCCUCAGCCAGGACCUUGCAGCUUGAGAGAUGUGUCCCCAGACCCCCCUAACCCAGCUGAGGAUGGAGGGAGCAGCCUGGUACACCCCAAGUACACUUCUCCUCCCAGUUAGGAAGACAUUAUUGCUGCCAGAGUACACGCUGUCCAUUCUUUAACCAGACAAGACUGGAUAAGAAAGGUAUAUGGAUGGUUUAUACAGGCAAGACAAGGGACAAAAAUACUGGUAGGUAACAGUGAAAGUUGUAACUAAAGAAAAGAGCUGUAGAGAGAAAAAAAAUGCCAGUCUGCUUUAUCAAUUAAGAUCUCAAGCUGUUUCACCACUUCCUAGCCCAGGAAACUGGCUUCCUCCUCAGCCCCCCUCCUCCCCCCCAGCCAGGUGUGCACUGGGGCUGCCUAGUGCUGCUCCCCCAGGCAGGGAGGUGGGCCCCUGUUCCUGAUAGCCAGGAAUCUUAUGUUAAGGAUGUGGUGGUAAAAUGUCAUAAAUUGCAAUAAUUGAGGGGAACAAAGGCACUUUACUAUCACUUCAUUAGAAUUGCACUAUCCUUUCUAUGCUGAGCUUUUUUUUUUUAAAGACCAGAAAUGAUGUGACCAUUAGAUAAAGCAUCCAUCUCCAUGUAUCUGUACAGUUAAUUUAAGGGUGACACUCUUAGCCGGGUCCCAUCAGGAGGAAAAGGAUAAUACACUAUUAAAGUUGCAAUUACUGUAUUAGGCUCAAAAUGUAAAUCCAUAUACCAGCUGUUAUAAUCUAGCAAAGGAGGGGGAAGUCUGGCAAAUAGUUCUUGUGGGCUUUUAUAUAGCUGCUCAUAACAGUGAAAUUAAAUGAAUACAUGUGUAUGUGUGUACAGCUAGAUUUAUAGACUCUCUUUAAAAUGUAAGCACUUCAGGUCCCGCUGAAGUAGCAGAAAACAAGCUGGGAUUGUUCCACCUGCAUAACUGGCCUUCAGCUUCCCAGUGUUCAGAUAUACUUUGCAAUGCCAGAGGGACUCACCUACUCCUCAACCUCAACUGUUUCUUGGGGCAGGUGUGGGAAUUCAGAGGGUUGACCUUUGGAGCACUGUGAAGCAGAGAGGAAGCUAAUGCUGCAAAGAGUGUUUCCUUUGGCAAGUGCUACCCCCUUCCCUGUGCCAGGACCCCUCUGUGAACCAAAGCCUUCAGGGCACCAGUACUGGCUGCAGCACAAAGCCAUGUUUAGUAGCUGUGAUUUUUUUUUCUUAUGUAUUUUCUCUCCUUUAGAUAUUCUUGGCUAGAUCUCUAGCAACCUACUGUAGCUUUGCUACAGCUUUGCUUUGCUUGCUUCAGCAGAGAUUUGUCAAUUUGGAGUAGCUGAGGGCAUAACCUUCACUCCAGAGAGAUGAAAUGCCUUGUUCAGACACCAGUACCUUAAUGGAGCUGGGAACAGCACAUACGUGGAAUGUUCACAGUAAGAGCUUCUCUUCAUGUGCCACCUGCUACCAGAACGGUCUGGAGAUCUGCAGGAGGUGCCCUUCAGUAGCUGAAAUGGCACAGCUGCUUUUUCAGUGAUGAGAAAUAACAUUUCUGAGCUCACUGAGCACAGUCCAGGAGCACAUACGAUCGUAUUCUAGAAGGAACCAUUCUGCCUUUGGGUACCCUGUGAUUUCAUCUCCUUUACUUUUCAACUUUCCCUCUUACUGCAACUGUGCUGUUACCAGCCUUUGCUAUUUCAUAUGAAUACAGCUUGUUUCAGCUUUUCAAAGUCAUCCUGCAUGAUAUUCCUACCCUUUGCUGCACUGGUGAUGCUUCCUAAAUUUGUGACAUCAGAAAACUUUUCUAAUACAAAUGUAUAUUUUAAAGUAAUAUCACUGUAACUUCCUUCUUGCAUAUACCUCUAAUGAAAUUGUUGUACAGGAGCAGUCCAUGAAUGGUACUUUUUGUCCCUCCUUGUGUGGAAAGCUCUGUUGGUGUGGUCCUUCCUUUUCCAUCAAAGCCCGCUGUCCUGUUGCUCUGGCCUGAUCAAUGUCUACUACAUAGCUGUGCUGUGAAUUGCACAGGCUGAUUUAAAUGGUAAAUUCCCCCAUGCCACUAUUGUAAAUGCUUUGCCAAAGUCCAAAUAACUGUAAUUUUGUUUCUUCUGUUUUCCCUUUGGGGAUAAAUAGCAGAUAACUUUUGGUAAGUUCAGACUACUUCUCCCUUCCCCCCCAUAUAUUUAAAAAUUAUCCAAGCAAAAGGAUAUACAUCCGCCCCAGUAACUUUUCAUUUCCCAGUGUAGGUGUUACCUGUGGUGUUCUCCAGGAAGCCUGUGCCCCUUUAUGGUGGUAUUCAGUGUCCUGGUUGCUCAGAAGCAGGAGGGAGCUCACCCCACUGCUGGUCCAUCCAUCCACAUCUAAACACACAGCAUUUCCACUUUCUCUUCCAUUAUCCAUCCUUUAAAUAUAGUCUAUCCUUCAUUGAGUUCAGUAUUGCUCUUAUUACAGAAAACAGAAGCACCCAUUUAUAAUUGGAGCCAUGUUUGAUUCUCUCUGAUCUUUACAUCGUUCCCAUCAGUUUCAUGCUUUUCCCUCAAUCUCCUUUUAUUUAUAUAAAUUAGGAGCCAUUUAUUUUCUUUGCAAUGCUUCACUUUCAGCAUUUUCCACUGUAUUUCUGCACUUUCUGAGCUCCAAGUCAGUUUUCCUAUCUGAUGCUUCUUCCUUUCCAUGCCAUGUAAGUGCUCAGAUUGCUUGGACUUAAAGUGAUUAAGUUGGCUUUGUUUUAAAAGAGAUAUGAGGUUCUGUGGCAAGAGGCAUGUCCCAUGUGCCUUGGCCCCAUCCUUUGGUGGUAGUGGCACUGUGAGCGGGGUCAUCUCCACUCCUUGGAGUGGGACAGAGGAAACCAGAGCUUGGCAGUGCCUUAGAUUUUUGCCAGGAGAUAAAUAGGUCAAUAUAUUUCAGGACUGCACUGGCAACCUGGUAUGUCUGAUCUGUGAGUAAUAGCCAUUUUGAAGUGAUUAUUCAUCCUGUUAGAUCUGAAGCAUUUCUCUAGAAGUGCUGUUUUUCUGCCCUCCUAACUUACGUGAAGGUUUCUUUGAUGUGAAUGUCAAGUCCUCUUUAAACUGAAGUUAUUUGGUCAACUUAUUUUCACUAGUUGUUUCCUGGUGGUUCAAUAAAUAGUAGCAGAUCUAUUUUUGUUGACUCUUUGAUUUAAUUUUAUGUGAACCAGCCCAUGCUUGCUCAUUGCAGAAUUCUUGUCUGUGAUUAGUUCUUGUAAGCUUUUCUGCUUACCAAAACCAGGUCUUAAAUGCAGCUCCCUGUAUCGACUCCUUGGUGAGGAGAUCUGAUGCUCUCAUUGAGCACCUGGACCAUAAUACUGCUGGCUGCAUUUGUUCUGCACUGUAGGCAUUGGAUAUGGUAUUGCUGCGAAUGCAUUAUGGAACUAAAGAUUUUCUUGAUGUUGUUCUCCAGUUGCUCAAAGGUUCAGUAGAACCAACUUUUACUGUCCUUCCUUGGAAUUAUUCUGGCUUCAACAGAUUUGCCUUCAGCCUGUACUGCCUUGUCUUUGCUUUAUAACCUAUCACACUGUGGUGCUAUAACAUCCGUCUGCCAAGAUAAUCUUUAUUUCCAUCUUUCCUGAACUGUAUGUACCUUUCAAGGAUUUGCAGAGCACAGGUAAAUAGAGUAGCUUUCAGGACAGUGUUUUCCUUAUGCCUUUCAAGUUCUUUAUUCUGCUGUAGUGGAGACUGAGUAGCCAUUUCUCCAGCUUUUUGUAACCUUAUUUCCUGCCUUAGGCUGGCAGGGAGUAGAGGCAUGUACUUUCACACUAAUCACAUGGGGUUUCUCAUACUGAAUUUUACUGUGGGAUUCCAACAGUAAUAAUAUUUCUUUAAAAAAAAAAAAUUCAAAGGCUUGCUUUCCAAAUGUGCAAAAAGAAAAAAGCACUAAAAUCUUCCCCUGGAAACCUGUUUGUCUUGUCUGAGGAACAGGUAUUUCAGGGUCUUCAUUAGGAAUAUCUGAGCUCUGCAGGUGCCAUGCUAAUGUUUGCCUCCACUCUGGAUGACACCAGUGCUCUUAGCAUGUUCACCACCUAUCUUCCCCAUCUGAGACAACGACCUCCUUGGGUUUUCCCCAUCCUUUAUUGUAUAUUCCACUAUCCAUCUGCUAUUAAUCACUCAUAAACCUAGCCUAAUCAUGACAAAUAUGUGAAGAACUAAUUUGCUGUUCACAAGAUGAGAUGAAUUAGGUUGAAUAAUGAAGGCACUGAUGCCACUAACUUGAUUUGAUUUGUAUAUGUUUAGACACAUUUAAAGUCAAUGGAGAAGUAUUUGCAACUUGCAAGGCUCAAAUGUUUCCUGGUUAUUAUCUUCCCUUUUGUAAUAAUCAAAUUCAUUUGCAGAUAACUACAAGAAAGCAACCCAAUAACAAAAGAUUUAUACCAUGUUGGCAGUUGAAAUGGUCAUUUGAUUUCCAAUGGGAGUCUGUUGGCAGGUAGAUCCUCAGCAGUGCUCAUUUUCAGUUCUACCUAUUUAUGCAAUCUGUAUGAUUUACCAUGCCACGGAGAAGAGUCUAUUACAGCUUCUGCAAGUAAACUAGAUGCUAUGUUAGAUAGCCAAGUUUCCUAGAGCUAUUAGCCAUACAAAUACAAGAUAAAUUGUUUUCCUUGUGUUAGGAAAUCAAGGUGAGCCUGCUAAAAACAAUAACAAUAUAUCAGUAUCUUAAGUUUUCUAUUAAGCUCCGUUUGCCUGCAGCUCUUACAGCUGAAGGCAGAAUGGGUUGACCAGCUCAAGGAAGUAACACUUCCAACAUCCCAAUUCUAAAGGGUACAUGGCCGGACUGUGGAAAAGAAGCUUGUACGUUAUAAAGUAAUGUUUUCUUGAAUCAAGAACCUGAUGUCAAUCACGUUUUUCAGUUGCAGAAGCCUGUUGUUUAUUACAGAAGCACAUUUUGUGUAAGUUCCUUCCUGAUUUACAAUGAUUCACAUUGAUAGACUUCUAGUCUAUGACACCGCCAUCACAAAUGGUAAUUUAUAACAGCUUUAGCUCUGCUCUUUCAGUGCUGGCUUUCAAGGACUGGAGCCAAGAGCUAUUCACCAGAAGUAAAUCUGGGAGGAAGUUCACUUACUAUGAAUAUUAAUUAAUGUUUAUAUACUACGGUUUAUUUUGUUAUGCAGUGAUUUAAUUCAGGCCAUCCAGAAUAGUGCUGUAUGGUUGAAGAGAAUCAGUAGCCAUGUGCUCAAUUCAUUUCAGAGAUAAACCUGCUUCCAUUCAUUUUCUUUUAUGGCAUAACCUGAAAACAAGCUUUCGUCAACAUGGCAGAAAGGAGAGUGUGUAAGGCGGUGACAAGUGGUGCUUCUCUGUUCUCUGUAAUUAUGCAAUAAAGAGAAGAUGUUCAGAUUCACCUCCAAGCCCUUCCCCCGUGUUGCUCUUCCCAUGUGAGAGUUAACCUCUUUACUUUGCUGCUUUCUUCUUAUUCAGACUAAUCAUCUCCUUGCGGAGAUGCCAGUGGAAGUGAUUGAGACAAAGGGGCGUAGCAUCAUCUUGAUGCUGAAGAGCUUUCAGAGGAGGUAAGUGUGUGACUUCCCAGCAGAGCAAGUGGAGAAUAAGCAGCUGAAAAAUCUUUCUUCAUUUCUAAGAAAAACAGGAAUGGCCAGGCCAUUGCCGGGUGCUGACAUGUUUGUAUUUUUUGUGUUGCAUUGUUUUGUAAUCAAAAGUCAGUAUUUAUUGGACUAUACUCUCAAAAGGUCUCAUCUCAAAAUACUCUCAUAUCAGAAUCUGUGAUAAGACUAAAAACCCUGAUGGAAACUUAGCCCCAGCAAUUUUUUUUUCUGACAUCAGCUCUUCCCUGCCUUAAAGUAUAACCCCAAAGCCCUGAGCUCUCCACUAAGGAGGCUGGAUGUGGGAGCCAGCCAGCAGAGCCUGCUGCGUCCAAGCCCUCUUUGUAAGAGAGAGAGGUGGCUGUGGCACUGGACAGUCUCUGGACUGCCUCCUUCCUUCUGCCUGCAGAGCACAGCCAUGGCCUUUCAGAAAGCUGCUGCUGGUGCCUGUCCUUGCCCUGUGGGUACACCAGCCUAGGGAGACCCUUCCAUGCAUCUUGCAUGCAUGGUAUAGCAGAUAAGCCACAAAUAGUUUGUGCCUACUUCAGUAAGUAGCUCACCAAUGUGGCAUACCAUUGUAAUGGAGAAAAAACCCUAAUUCCAUUAAACUGGAUGUUAGGCAUAAUAGCUGGACCCUUAAGGUUGAAGAAAUCCGAUCCAUUCAGGUGGCACAGAACAGUCUUCAGUGCAUUGCACAGCCUAAGGAGAGAGCAGAGUGUUGCCCACUGUAUUUACUAUCAUGUUUGUUUUGGGAGCUAAAUUAUUCUUACUAAUUCUGCUAGCAGUGUAAUACGCUGUCUCAGUAAUGGAAAGCAUAUGAAAGCAAGCAGAUGGCGAGAGCAGAAAAAACCCAAGCAUGUCCUGAUAAUGUAGUAAGCAAGUUCAUUUUUUUGGCAUUAGGCUUUCAUAACCGAGGCAUGGUGAUAACAAGUACAGACACAUUUUUAAAGCGCAGUUCAUCAAAAAAUAUAGCCAGUUUCAUUGCAGAGCAAUGGAAGAUUACUUUGAGACUUUUAUAUAGAUAAAAGCUAGAUGUGAAUGUUGUUGAAUUAGACCCAUCAUUUAUUAUUGCUGGCAGAUGAGUGACAGCAGAUACUGGUCAGAGUGAUGCCAUCGCAGUCCUGUGAUCGCACGUAUCUUCACGAAUGUAGAGUUUCUCACCCGUUCACUUGCAAAUAUGUAGCCACCCUGUAUGCCAGAAAAACCACAGGCACUUUGAUACAGGGUGUUAUCGCAGUGGGCAGUAUUGGAAAUUCCAAGUAUUUUAUUUUGCUUCUAAAGCUUUCAGUCUCUGGUUGGAAGUUGUGAAGCUCAAGGCUGCUGCUGCUUCAAUAUCUGCGUAUCUGCAGCAUGUGUGGAUCCCACCUGGUUUGGCCCCAUUCCCUGCGAGGAGGGCACUGCGUGGGGAGUGCUCAGCAUGUCUAGAGAAGAGUGGCCUCGCCUCUCUGCUGAAGCAAGCAGUCCUGGCAUGGAGUUUUGGGGGGGAGGAGGCGGUGGAAGUAACUUGACUACCUCCAACCCACAUUUUUUUUUGUUGUUUUUUUUUGUCUCUCAGGCCAAGAUAUGGGCAGAAGCAAGGCCAGAUUCACUGUUUACACAAUCUAUCAUUUUAAGGUUCUUCAGAAAAGGAAUACAUUAAUUUUUGUUAUGAUUUCACUUUGAAGCAGCGCAGCUGCAUCUUUGUGUGACAUGUCAAGUGGCUCCAGCCAUGCUUUGUGAGAUGGGGCUGCAAGCAAAGCCCUGCCCUCAGCUUCCAGGAGUUUGGUUCAGAGGGAGCAAGGGAGGAGGAGCUGCCAAUGCUGCUGUGUGGGGAGCAAGUGCCAGUUCAGGGAGUGAACAGAACUGAGCAGUGAUCUCUUCUGCAGGGAAGGGGUGAGGAGAGACGGCCCCCUUUCUCAUGAAACCAUGUAAUUGGUUAUAAUGCUCAUUUUUCACCAUUCAAUAGCACAGCAUGUUAAGUAAUGAAAGUUUUUAAAUAUUUCAUAUGCAUCUGGUUCGUUCCUGAUUUGAAGAAACAAAGGCAAGAAAGCCUUUCUGAUUGCUUGCUCCCUCUGAGGGCCUUGCUCUUGCUGCUUCCUGAGGAAAGUUGUCUCCCUUUAUCUUUUUUUAGCAAUGGAUGCUGAUUUAACCUCCCAGGAAAUCAUGUCUUUUCUUCUGUGUUGCUUUUAGUAUCUCCAGGAAGUGGCAGGUGGCACCACUCAGGAGAUGACUUUGAUGGCCCCAUGUCCUCUCUGUUUCAUUACCCAGGCAGGAGGUGGGACUGCUGUUACACCUUGUUCCCAGCUGUUUUCUGCUCCCAAGGCUGUGCCACCCAUCUCGUUGCUGUGGCUUUCUCUUGUGGGGCCUGGAGACAGAUGCAGAAGCCAGGUGACACGGAUGCUUUGCUGCCAGCGCGGGGCCUGAGGCUGUAUCCUGGUGGAGCCUGGGCAGGGGCUGAUACGCUCAGGAGAGAUGGGAUGGGACAGGGUCUGCCCUAAUGCUGAAGGCCCAGCUCAAACCUCUGGGGGCGGGAGACCCUGUGCUGAUAGCCAGAAGUCAGAGCACGUUGCUUCCUUCUGCUGUGGUGUCUCUGCCAUCUGCAAAUCCCUCCAGCAGCGGCACCCUGCCUCUGCCUUGUUCCCACUUUGUUUAGGCUAAAGCCAGUGGGUCUGUCUUCAAAGCAAAGUGCGGCUUUCCCUGUGGAAAAAUCUCACUCCUGACUUUUGCUCUGUCCCCACAUCAAGCCAGCUUUCAGUGCACUGCCUGUAAGCAACUGUUAUUUUUUGUGUUUGUCCUGCAGUGAGCCAUAGCGUUCUGUGUCACCAUACCUCUAGACAAGGCUGUGAAAGCAGUUGAGGACUUUUCCAACAACUGAUGCCUGCUGCUGCUGCUCACAGCCAGCACAAAGCCUUCCCACUGCCAGGCCUGCCUGCUCUGGGCUGCUGUGUUUAUUUCAGGGGUUAGAGGGGAAGGGGGGGAACUGUAUCUGGGUAUUUUAAUUAGAUAAUAAUAAUGUAAACAAGUGGCACUAUGGCCACUUCCUAAACAGACACAUCUGUUUGUAGAGUCCUGGCCCUAUUGGAGAGCACUAGGUAGGACUCAUCAGGCCAAGUCGUCGCUGCAGCUGUGCUGGGCAGCCCUGGAGCCCACUGGCUCCUCACAGGGGUGCUGGAGCACACUGGGGGCAUCGCUCCCCUCCCACUGCCCAUGCACUGCUGGAUGUGGCACAGCACUGCUACAUACAAAACCCUACUGAAGUUAUUUGCCUCAGUCUCACACAUCUGAGUCUUGUAACUUUGCUGCUGGUUCAUUUUCAGGAGGGACAGGAUAUAUUAUGGAGCUAAAUUCUCACGGGCAAAUAAUAAGUCCUAGCACCUGCUGGCUGGAACCCACAGGCUGUGACCUUCUGUCUCCUCCAAUGUUUGUGUUUUCCUCUGCGGGAAAGAGCAACAUGGUAAAGAAUUCCUAUUAUUUCAAAUAUUUCACCAUGGUGUUAUCUAGCCUAGUCUAAACAAUGGUCCCGAUUGCUCUUGAGAGUUGUACUCUGCAGGAGAAAACGGUAACAAAUGUUAUUCCCAGUGUGUUCCCCCCCACCACGGGGACACAGAUAUUUGUGACAUGGAAUGGCAGUGUGCUACUGGAAGCAUCAAUCCAGAUAUGUUAGCUGAAAAAGAGGAAAAAAUUGCCUCCCUUGCCAAAUUCCAAACUGAUCCACCCAGAAGAAGAUCCAUGCUGUGAUGCUUCUGUCCUGGAUGUGCCAUUUGUUGAUGCAGGAAGUGGAUCACAUCCCAGGCUCUGGGAAUGUGCAGGAUGUGUCACUUGCCCCAUUGCCUUACAAACAAUAAAUCUCUAAAACCUCACUAAAAGCUGUAAUACUGCAAAAGCUGCAGCCAUGGCAAUUAUUUGCCUUCAUGUUCACUGACCCACUGAAGGAACCAGGCUGUGAACACCCUGACUCUAGUGGGAAAUGCCUGGACAGCCAGACCUGACCCAAAUGUCCAAACACAGCCAAACUUCAGCCUGAAUACACAUAACACAGUUAAUCCCGACUUAAUUUAUGGCAGCCUGAACCUGAAUGUGAACUCACCCACUGUGUUACCAGAGAUCCGAACCUGGAUUUGGCUCCCAAAUAGCUUGGGUCUAGGUCUUGAAAUUACCCAGUUGUUGGCUGCAGUCUGCUUUGGAGCUGGAGAUUUAUUUCUCCAGGAGGCAGGAAAACACAUUGUGUUGCCAAACUACUUCCAGUCUUUUCCAGAAUUACAAGUCAGGGGAUGGUGGGUAAGUCUUGUGAUUUUCAUCCUACAAUCUAAACCAGAUGGACUACUCUCGCAGCAUAAAUAUUUAAGCAAAGAAAAGGAAAAAAAAAAAAAAAAAAAAACUGGCAGAAAAAGUUCAGUUUCUUAAUUAAUUGCAUUAUUAUGACUUGCACUAUUUAACAGGAUGCGCAUAAAGCUGGUCUACAAGAUAGUUUGAUCACCUUCUUUGAUUCAUCUCAAUAAAAUCUGGAGUUUUUGUUUUCUCGGGGAUAAUGAAGUAACUGUAGAAUAAUAAAGUGGCUCUGCUUAUUGGAAACAGAAAGCUCUCAGCUUUCGGAAGAAAAGAUCCUCUCGGUGAAGCUCGUGCUGUAUUAAUCCAAAAAUACAAAUAAGUGGAGGUGAUCUGGAAAGCCUGUGUUACUGACAUCAGCCCAGCAUUUCUGCCACUGAAGAUCCUCUUCUCCGGCCUCAACUCAAAAAAUCUUUGUGGCAGAUUUGGCAUUGCCUGUAAUAAUUUAUGAACGUGAUGUGUUGACAUGUUUACUGUGUGCAUACAUUGAGCUACUUCAAUCGCUGCCUUGUCAGGAAGUGUACCCAGGAGAGAACAGAUGAAUCCAGGCACGCGGUUUGGAGGAAACACUGGGGAGCUGAAGCAAGCGCCCUUUGCUGUGACAUUUUGGCUGGGCCCCUGCUGGGCUCACAGGAGAGAUUUCCCUGGGAGAACAUGGGUGCCUGUGAAGGAAGGCACAGAAGGCCCUGGGGGAUUCACAGUGAACCAUUUAAAUGGAGGCUUUGGAGAGCGAGAACCCGAAAGGGGCUGAAAGCGCUCAGAUCUGCAGGUACCUAAUUCAGUACAUGUUGGCGAUAAAGGGGAUGUGGAACAUUUGUUUAACCGCCGUGCUUUAUUUCAGUGGUGAAAUGGCUCUUCUGUUUUAUAAACAUGGUUUAGGUUGCACAAGAGAGCUGGAUGCCUCUGUUCCCAGGUCCAUGUGGGAAUCAUGGUGAUUGUGCUGGGUAGGCUGGCUGGAGUUUGGCAAAGCUACCUCAGCCUGCCUGCAGGAAGGUGAGAGCUUGAGGCCUGGCAGCCUUCCCCAGACGGGAAGGCAGAAAGGCCACUGAUAGCUGAGAUCCAGCAGUAACCAUAACAAUACCAUCAUCUUUCUUAAAAGUCCCAGCACGUAAUUCUACUAAUGACUUUUAUUAAACAUUUAAGCCUUAGCCUUCAAGUGAUUCAUAUUUGUUACAAAACACCAUCCCAUUAACACAAAGUACAAGCCGAAACAAAGUUAAUGAGCCCUAAUGCUUGCCGGAUAAUACGAAGUUUGAGUGAUACUAACAAAAAUAAAAUUAGGAAGAAAUCUACUUUCAUUGUCCACCAGAGAAUUUGAGUUUUAUCCUUCUGGUUCAUAAAAACAAGUCCAUUGCUCAAGUGGCUAUUACGCUCUUAUUAAAGUUGUUCCAAAACACAUAGAUGUGCGUAAUUAAGUGCCCCUCUGUUACAAGAGGGCCUGUCUGACAGUCUACAGGGAAUGCAAGGGGCCUUAAUUCAUGACAUCAAAGAGAAUGGCAUUACCCUCAUACUUCACUAUGUUGGCUGGUGUUGGUCCCACAUGGUGCAGUGCCCAGGACACAGCACUGUCAGCUGGAGCUGGGCUCUGGGGACCUGGAGGCAACAAGAGUGUGGCCUGAAAUGUACAUUAAUAUUUGUCUUAUGGAAAUCUUCAACAGAACUUAGGUCAGGCAUCCAAAGCACUGAGGAACUACAAAAAGUCAUUACAAAAUGUCAGGAAGUGUAGACUGAGAUAUUUUUAAUUGUCUGUUUUGGCAGUCAGAUACUAACGGCAAAUGGGGAAAUGGAGUAAAAAUCACUGAUAUCUCCCUACCCUUGAAAGUACGUGAUGUUGCUCAAAGCUCUGCCAGUUUUAUCUGUGUGUCCCAGUGAAGAGACUAAACACAAGAAACAGAAAGGGGCAGCAGUAAAGUUGUAAAGUGCCAUUUUGGAAGGGAUGAGCAAGCACUGUAUAGUGACCAAUUUGCUACCAGAGUUACGUUCCUUGUCAGCUGGAUCCCAUGAAGCAGAUGUUAGCCCUGUGGGGUUCCCAGCCAGCACACUCCUGGCAAACAACUUCAGAGGUGAAAAAGGGAAUGGGUAAUGCCACCAUGGUGCCCAUCUGCAGCAGCUUUUGGCUUUGCCCCUUGGUAAAUAUGACACGGUGCUACCAGAAGGCCUUACAGGGCCACAGCCACUGUGUAGGCGCAGCCAUUCUCUUUGUGGAACUGGUGUGAUCCGUAUGGUGAAGGACCUCUCUGCAGAGAUAUUUGUCCUUCGGUAGGAGAGGAGGCCCUCGCACCACAGGGCCAUGGGCUAGGGUGGCACAGGGUCUGCUAGGUUGGCAGCUCCCUAGGAGAGCAAGGCUUAAUACGAAAUGUGAAAGGGAAUCGGGCAAAAUGAGCCAACUUGGACAUGGGAGAAUGUUCUGCAGCAUAAAUCAUACAUUCUCCCCCAUUUGGAAAGAGGUAAGAAUUUCAUCUUCAUUAAUUUCAGCUGGCAGAUACAGAUAACAAAGCGGCGCUCUGUAUGGGAGCAAGACUCACUGAGGC